rnacentral:rRNA from 1 species
UACGUAGGGAGCAAGCGUUGUCCGGAAUCAUUGGGCGUAAAGCGCGCGUAGGCGGCCCGGUAAGUCCGUUGUAAAAGUCGAAGGCUCAACCUUCGAAAGCCGAUGGAUACUGCCGGGCUAGAGUUCGGAAGAGGCGAGUGGAAUUCCUGGUGUAGCGGUGAAAUGCGCAGAUAUCAGGAAGAACACCCGUGGCGAAGGCGGCUCUCUGGGACGGUACUGACGCUGAGGAGCGAAAGCGUGGGGAGCGAACAGG